AAAAAAAAUUUUUUUUAAAAAGCAAAAAACAAAAAGAGUUUAAAAAAAUUCUAUUCAUUUGCCAAAAAAAAAAAAAAAAAAGAAAGGAAAAAGAGAUACCUCAAGAAUAUACACAGUAUAGGGGCGCCUGGGUGGCGCAGUCGGUUAAGCGUCCGACUUCAGCCAGGUCACGAUCUCACGGUCCAUGAGUUCAAGCCCCGAGUCGGGCUCUGGGCUGAUGGCUCAGAGCCUGGAGCCUGUUUCCGAUUCUGUGUCUCCCUCUCUCUCUGCCCCUCCCUCGUUCAUACUCUGUCUCUCUCUGUCCCAAAAAUAAAUAAACGUUGAAAAAAAAAUUAAAAAAAAAAAAGAAUAUACACAGUAUAUUAACAAUGGUUCUGAGUGAUAGGCUCAUGGGUCAUUUUGUUCACUCCACUCCAGUAACUUUCUUUAUGCUUUCUAAAUUUUCUGCAAUUAGUAUAUAUUACGCUGCUUUGGCAGGAGAAAAUUAUCUAAAAAAUUGCUAAGCAAAGAAAACACUAAAAUAAGGAGUCUCUUGAGGAAGGACAGAAAGGGACAGCGGUCACCGAGGGUCACUUUUGCCAGGUCCGAGGGAGCCACGGGGAGCUGGGGGUGAAGGCGGUCACCACCAUCCAUAGAGCACAGGGGAAACUGACCAGAAGGCUCCCUCUCUCCACACAGGGACCAUGACUUCUGGGAAACAGCCACCCCUCCCUGAGGGCCGGCAAUCCUUUCCGCCUCUGAACACCCUGACUUGUGCCAACAAGAGAAUGCCUAUCUUCUAAGACAAGUUUGCAGACGGUCUGGAUCUGGGAUGAGGCGUUGAGUAUCCUGUAGGCAGAGCUAAUUUUUUUGACCUAACGCUCGGAGAUCCCCCGCCCGCCCCCGGUAUCAAAUCUCUGACUCAAAUUCAUCCCCAAGAUCAUCACACGCUAUCUUUAAGCCUAGUCUUAGAGCAAAUUUUAAUGUUUCAUAGCUCUUCGGUAACGUCCCUGAAUGUGGCAUGAAGGGUAAAGGUUUGUAGGCGCGACACUUGGAGCUUUGACACCCAAAUCGAGCGCCCUUUUUUCUUUUUUUUUUUUUUUCCUUCAGUUGGGCAAACCCUCGAGUAUAUUUUCCUCAACGUGAAGACAGAGCACUGGAAACAGAAAAGGUGUUUUAAUGUGAGUGCUGUUUUCACACGAGGAAAUCCAACCUACCGCAAAACCAAGCUCGUGAAAGGGGAGAAAAAACGGAUUCAGGAAGUGAAAUGAUGUCCAGUGUUAUGCUAACUGAAUAUCAAAAUAAUAAACACCAAAGGCACACAGGCCAGAAGGAACAGGUAAUAAAUCAAAAUCCUUGGGGGAAUGGGACCUCAUUAGGCUUGAAAGAGGGACCAGUGUUGCCCAAACUGGUUGUUAGCACAAGGCCCUCACUACCUCCCUCCUUUUCUUCUUCCUCUUUAAAAAAAAAAUUGGGACCAAGGCCAUGUCUUUUAAGACGUCAUAUAACUCCUUUCCUUAUUGUACAUGCCACAGCAAGUUGCCAUCAGCUGUUAUUUGUUAUUGAGGAUCUGUGUAAACACGGAGGCCAGGAGACUGACUCACCCAUCAGAACAGGAAGAGAAAGGAUGUGAUCACACUGUUACUUUCAACCGCCUUCGUGUUAGCAUUGUCCAUUACAGAAGAGACGGCAGUCGACAUUCCCUAACGUCCUAACGUGAAGCGUUUGAGCCCAUCGGGAAGCAAAUUCUAGAAUGGAACAAUGUAGCCGCAGGUUACCAGGGUGGGCUCGCAAACUCAGGUUUGGGCACCUACCUGUGCCCGGUAUGGCAGUAGAGUGAUUCUGCCACCAGCAGAAGAGCCCUGCGGGGCUACCUGGGGACACGAGGACCCUGCACAUCCUUCGGUGGAACAGCGCAACCAGCAGGAAAGGCUGCUACGCUAGGAAUCCUUGAAUAUGUGGGCUGACGGCUUGGUGUGUAUGAUGCGGGAAUGGGACACACAGGGAAUUCUGUUUUCCAGCCCCACUGGGUGUGUCCACAGCCCCGUGGAGCCAGGAAGGGAAGAAUCGCCGCAGGACAUUGCGGUCUGCAGGAAGGCAGUUCCUUUUGUUGUCAAAAAGCAGCACGUCCUGGGGCGCCUGGGUGGCUCGGUCGGUGAGGCGUCCACUCUUGACUUGGGCUCAGGUCAUGAUCCCACGUUUCGUGGGUUCGAGCCCCAUACCUGUCAGUGCAGAGCCUGCUUGGGGUUCUCUCUCUGCCCCUCCCCCACCUGCAAGCUCUCUGUCUCAAAAUAAAUAAAUGAACAUGAGAAAAAGGCAGCACAUCCUCCCCUCUGCCCAGAUUCCACGACUCCCCUGUAGGGUGGGUAAAUCUGAUUCUUUAAGCGCUGCCCCCCGCCCCCCAAUGCCAAGUACCCUGGAAGUCCUUCAAAUACCGGCUGGAAGUGGCUGAAGACACGUUGACACCUCAAGGGCCUGGGAAUUAAUUUACUAAGGCUAAUUUACAGUCACUCGUUCCUCCCAGUGCACCCAGCUAGAGUCAGGUUGAGAAAAGAAUCAGAUGUUAACUGGACUCAUUGCAGUGAUCAUUUUGCAACACAUUUUGCAACACUUGGUUGAGCAUCCGACCUCGACUCAGGUCAUGAUCUCGCAGGUGACGAGUUCAAGCCCCACGUCGGGCUCUGUGCUGACAGCUCAGAGCCUGGAGCCGGCUUCCAAUUCUGUGUCUCCUCCUCCCUCUGCCCCUCCCCUGCUCACGCUCUGUCUCUCUCUGUCUCUCAGUAAUAAAUAAACAUUAGAAAAAAAAAUUCAAAUAUCGAACCACUAUUUUGUAUACCUGAAACUAAUGUAAUGUUGUCACUUACACCUCAAUAAAAAGAAGCAUUUAAAAAAAAGAGAAAAGAAUACUACUAUUUCAAUUGCAGCAAAUCAAUGUCCUAAGACCACUCGAGAAAGCAAGGGCAGGCAAGAAGAAUCACCAGAAAAGUCCAAGAAGGGCUUCUAACCAUGCUUAGUAUUGAAACUGCAAAAUUAGAAACACUUUUAAACUUUCUCUCUGAAAUAAACUAAACACGAAAAUCCAGUUGGAAAAUGUUUACACGGGCAGAUUCAUUACUCCAGUAUAGAUUAAUAGAUUAACCACUUCAAUGCCUCCAAAAUACUGAUCAUUUCUCACAUUCUUCAAAGCAUUAGACCUGUUUCUGCUUGCAGAAGCCAUACGUACUUUUUGAGCUGAGAGUCAGCUUGCCUGGGACUCAAAAUCUUCUUUCAACUAACUUUUGCAUUCUAUAAUUUUUACAAAAUUCCUGGCACUCCUCAGGCAAGGAUUUCACAGCGAUCACAAAUGGAAGUAGAAAAACAAAAAGAUAUUCUAAUUCAAGACUGAACCAUGAGAGAAAGGAAAAAUAUGCAAAUUUACUUCCUAUACAAAUAAGUCCUUUUGCCUUCCAACUCGGGGCUGAUUCUGGAUGAUAUCCCUUUCCUUCUUUGAUGUGCGCGAAAAGCUAUUUUUGUUUUGUUUUAAGAACAAAGGUAAUAUAAAUAGGAUAAGUUACAUCCAUCUAUCUGUAUCAUGCCAAAUCUGGACUAAACAAGUGCUGUGUUUCUAGAUACAGGGAAAAAUAUUUUAUCUAAAUGUCUAUUUUAUUUUUUACAUUACAGCUACUCAAACCCAGUCAGAAUUUUUCUUUGGGUAAAGGUCAUGGCUGGAUUUUCAGAGACUUCAAAUACAAAUGUUUGCUUGAAAGAACGGACAAAUGAAUGAAGAGAUACCACGUGCCGAAUUUCCCAAUGAAAAUGCGUCAGCAGCGAGAAAUUCUAAAUGCAUCACUGACCCUUUUCCUUCAUCAAGGGAGUGACCUGCGCUCUUUCUCGAAGGGGGCUGACUGAGACAAAGCAAAUACACUGGGAUGCUUCCAAAGUUAAUUUCAACCAUGGAUCAACUGUCACAAAGAUAUUUAAAUUUAUCCUAUUGUGGGGCACCUGGGUGGCUUAGUAGGUUGAUCCUCAGACUCUUGAUUCGAGCUCUUAUGAUCUCAAACUCUAGGGAUGGGCCCUGAGUCCGGCUCACUUAGUAUGGGUUCUCUCUCUGUCUCUCUCUUUCUCUCCCGCCCCUCCCCCAACAUGUGUUCUGUUUCUCUCCAAAAAAAUUAAUUAUUUGAUUAUUUAUUAUAAUAUACGAAGUCUCUUAUUUAUUUAUUUAUUUAUUUAUUUAUCCUAUUGCAAGAUAAGAAAAGCUGAACAGUUAAGAUUUCACAAUCUUGGGGCACCUGGGUGGCUCAGUAGGCGAAGCGUCCGACUUCGGCUCAGGUCACGAUCUCGCGGUCCGUGAGUUCGAGCCCCGCGUCGGGCUCUGUGCUGACAGCUCAGAGCCUGGAGCCUGUUUCAGAUUCUGUGUCUCCCUCUCUCUCUGACCCUCCCCCAUUCAUGCUCUGUCUCUCCCUGUCUCAAAAAUAAAUAAACGUUAAAAAACAAAAAUUAAAAAAAAAAGAUUUAACAAUCCAGUUAUUGGCCACUUUAGUUUGUUAAGUAGGCACAUGAAUGAACUAAAUCCCUCAUUAUUAUAAGGGUAGAAUGUUAAUUUCCAGUUCCUGCUCCAGGAACCAUUUUGAGCCAUUUUGUGAGCUUCCAGGGGAUAAGCAAACACUCAAAGUAGUCAUGUCAAAGUUGUCAAAUGUCUCUGAGCCACACAAACAACCUUGGCAUAGAACCUAUGCCAAAGUUACAUUCAACAAUGUGCACGCAUUAUAAUAAACCCAUUACUGAUCCAACCCUCUACAUCUCCAAGUACUGGCAUCUUUGCGCUCGAAAUGGGUUACCACCAAUCAUGAGCCUGGUCUGGUCUGCCUUUGACUUGGUUUCUCCUUUCCUGCUUGUGGCUCCUUGUUAGAACGCUGGAAUGGGGAAAUGGAGGUCAUCCUUUCCCUGCCCCCACAUCUGUAUCGGUGAAGAAUACAGAUGUGCACAUGACGAAGGGAGUUGAUGGUUGAGGGAGGAAGACACUGUGUUCAAAGCAUAAGUUCAAAGGUGUGUCCCUGAGAGAAAAAUGUUGAAACCCCGGUCCACACCCAUCUGUGACUCCUAAAGUCAACAUGGCUUCCAGACACAGAG